AUCCAGUGUUGUUUCCAUGUGGAAGAGAAGCGUGGCGUCCCGUCGCCAAAACGGCUGAGACUCCACGGCCGAUGGGUCAGUGCGGUCACCACAUUCGGAUCCGCCUGCCGCAUCUGAAGAGGAGGCUUACACACACACAUACACAGCUACAGAUAGACAAUCACUUUCACCCACUGGAGUGGGUAGGCGGGACUGCGAGCAGCGCUUUUUAGCUGGUGGACCAUAUGGCUGCCGCCCUCAUUGGACUAUAUUCACAUCCCGUUGCAAUGUUAUGUCUAUGUGUUUAUGUGCUUGAUUGCUGGGGCAUUUCCCCCCUGUACUCACACUGCCCUAAUUCAAGGACAGUGUGAGAGGGUGUUUUUUUAUCGCCUCUCUCUUCCCGAAAUGUAUCUCAUUUCCUCUUUCUAAAAGCUAUCUUUCAUCGACCUGCAUGGUCAAAGGGGGUCCAAUUUCACUGCAUGAAAGUAUAUGUGACAAAUAAAGGCUUCAUCAUCAUCAUCA